UCGGGAAUUUUGGGCAAUGGGCGAAAGCCUGACCCAGCAACGCCGCGUGAGGGAUGAAGUAUUUCGGUAUGUAAACCUCGAAAGAAUGGGAAGAAUAAAUGACGGUACCAUUUAUAAGCUCCGGCUAACUACGUGCCAGCAGCCGCGGUAAUACGUAGGGAGCAAGCGUUGUUCGGAUUUACUGGGCGUAAAGGGCGCGUAGGCGGCGCGGUAAGUCACUUGUGAAAUCUCUGAGCUUAACUCAGAACGGCCAAGUGAUACUGCAGUGCUAGAGUGCGGAAGAGGCAACCGGAAUUCUUGGUGUAGCGGUGAAAUGCGUAGAUAUCAAGAGGAACACCUGAGGCGAAGGCGGGUUGCUGGGCCGACACUGACGCUGAUGCGCGAAAGCCAGGGGAGCAAACG
rnacentral:rRNA from 1 species